UCCCUGGUGGCUCAGAUGGUAAAGCGUCUGCCUACAAUGCAGGAGAGCCGGGUUCGAUCCCUGGGUUGGGAA
rnacentral:tRNA from 1 species